AAUGGCGGGUGCGGGAGUCCGUGCCAGCAAUCUGGAACUGUUUUUAAACGCMGGGGUGGAAGAGCUUCACAGCUCUGCCGGGAAAUGGAUACCGUCGCCCAUGCGUUAUCGCAAUACAGGGUUGUCUAUGUCGACGGAUGCUGAAGCGGAUGAGUACUCACGCUACGGUGUAGAUGGAGAGUCGGUUGCGGAAAUGAAAUCGYUGAUUGAACGUCAUCACGUGUAGCAACGUACCGAUUUUUUACCGCGCAUCAUGUCGCCCAAUAUGAUGCUUGCUUGUACCAGGCCCCUGCCAAUUACACAGGGGCCUUUUUU
rnacentral:ncRNA from 1 species